rnacentral:rRNA from 1 species
UACGGGGGGGGCAAGCGUUGUUCGGAAUUACUGGGCGUAAAGGGCUCGUAGGCGGCCAACUAAGUCAGACGUGAAAUCCCUCGGCUUAACCGGGGAACUGCGUCUGAUACUGGAUGGCUUGAGUUCGGGAGAGGGAUGCGGAAUUCCAGGUGUAGCGGUGAAAUGCGUAGAGAUCGGGAGGAACACCAGAGGCGAAGGCGGCGACCUGGACAAGUACUGACACUCAACUACGAAAGCGUGGGGAGCAAACAGG